GUCUACAGUCAUACCACGCUGGAUAUGCCCGAUCCCAUCCGAUCUUGGAAGCCAAGCAGCGUUGGGCCUGGUCAGUACCAGAAAGGGAGACCAUCUGGGAAUACCGGGUACUGUAGUAU